CUGACCAUCCGUACUACUGUCAUCUUGAAUACCUCCAACCAGCAGUAUUUUCUGCCAGACAGAUGCCUUGAGAAGACAAAGGACAUGGUUAAGUUCAUGAACGAUAUCUUGGAUGGUGCUGCUGAAGCACAGGCUGGUGAUGGACUUCUGCAGCGAAGCAAGAGAGUCAUCUAUGAAGCCAAGGCUGCUGUAAUGGUAGAGUUUAUUGCUUAUUCAGUGAAGUGAUGCUCUUGUCAGUCAAGAAGGACUUAGUUGCAGAGGCUUCAGAAAUGCUUUGAUGUAAGCUUGUUGCUAUGCUGUGCCUAGUGUAUCUAUUGUCACUAUUUAUAACUAGGCUUAAACCAAAUGAACUUCUUGAUUAAAAUAGCCAAUCAUGUCUGCCAUA